GCGGCAGGCCUAACACAUGCAAGUCGAGCGGAUGACGGGAGCUUGCUCCUUGAUUCAGUGGCGGACGGGUGAGUAACACGUGGGAACGUGCCUUUAGGUUCGGAAUAACUCAGGGAAACUUGUGCUAAUACCGAAUGUGCCCUUCGGGGGAAAGAUUUAUCGCCUUUAGAGCGGCCCGCGUCUGAUUAGCUAGUUGGUGAGGUAAUGGCUCACCAAGGCUACGAUCAGUAGCUGGUCUGAGAGGAUGACCAGCCACAUUGGGACUGAGACACGGCCCAAACUCCUACGGGAGGCAGCAGUGGGGAAUCUUGCGCAAUGGGCGAAAGCCUGACGCAGCCAUGCCGCGUGGAUGAUGAAGGUCUUAGGAUUGUAAAAUCCUUUCACCGGUGAAGAUAAUGACUGUAGCCGGAGAAGAAGCCCCGGCUAACUUCGUGCCAGCAGCCGCCGUAACAC
rnacentral:rRNA from 1 species